CAGUCGCCGCGGGAAUACAGAGGGUGCGUGCGUUAAUCGGAUUUACUGGGCGUAAAGCGUGCGUAGGCGGCUUCUUAAGUCGGAUGUGAAAUCCCUGAGCUUAACUUAGGAAUUGCAUUCGAUACUGGGAAGCUAGAGUAUGGGAGAGGAUGGUAGAAUUCCAGGUGUAGCGGUGAAAUGCGUAGAGAUCUGGAGGAAUACCGAUGGCGAAGGCAGCCAUCUGGCCUAAUACUGACGCUGAGGUACGAAAGCAUGGGGAGCAAACAGGAUUAGAUACCCCCGUAGUCCCUGUCUCUUAUAC
rnacentral:rRNA from 1 species